GGAUGUCAGGAAGAUCUGGCGGCCACACCUGUCAGCCAGUAUAUCUGGCUAUACCGAAAGCCAGGGUUGAUUUGGCUGAACCUGCUGACUAGGUAGUUGUCUCCUUCCUCCCUCACUGUUCCAUGUGAGUCCCUCCUGAAGCUACAUGCAUGGUCCAAGAAGAUAACUUUCCAUAAUAGAAGAAGACUGUUCUGUAGUUGAAGGUAUACAAGUAGCUAUUCUCCCCUGCUAGAAUCUCCAAACAAGCUCUCAAGAAGUAACACAUAUAUUAUUCUGAAAAAAAUGGGUCAGAAACAUACAAACCAGUAAAAGGUUCACU
rnacentral:snRNA from 1 species